rnacentral:rRNA from 1 species
UCCAGGGCCAGGCUAGUCCGCCCUGGGUGAGUCGGGACCUAAGGCGAGGCCGACAGGCGUAGUCGAUGGAUGACGGGUUGAUAUUCCCGUACCGGCGAAGCACCGCCCAUGCUGACGCGCGGGUGCUAACCCACGCCCAGCCACCAUGUAGGCCGCAUGUGUCAGGUUCGCCUGACGGUGUGGUUGUGGUGGUGGGGUCUGGGGAUCCUCCGUGCAGGUAGGCAAGCGUGUUAACAGGGGUGACGCACAGUGGUAGCCCGGCGGACCUGAUGGCUUGGUCCGUUCAAGCGCGCAGCCCGUCCUCCAGGUAAAUCCGGGGUGACUGUCUUUGAUGACGGGGGUGAGGCGUGAUGGUGACCCCACUCUGGUGGGGGAUAGCAGGGUGAUCCUGGGGUGCCGAGAAAAGCCUCGACGCGAUGGUGCCAGCCGCCCGUACCCUAAACCGACACAGGUGGUCGGGCAGAGUAUGCCUAGGCGCACGAGUGAAUCAUGGUUAAGGAACUCGGCAAAAUGCCCCCGUAACUUCGGGAGAAGGGGGGCCCGAUCCCUUGAAGCCCCGUGGCGGGCUAGGGGGGUGGGUCGCAGAGACCAGGGGGAAGCGACUGUUUACUAAAAACACAGGUCCGUGCGAAGCCGUAAGGCGAUGUAUACGGACUGACGCCUGCCCGGUGCUGGAAGGUUAAGAGGAACCAUCAACCCUCGGGUGAAGUGGUGAAUUUAAGCCCCAGUAAACGGCGGUGGUAACUAUAACCAUCCUAAGGUAGCGAAAUUCCUUGUCGGGUAAGUUCCGACCUGCACGAAUGGCGUAACGACUUCCCCGCUGUCUCAACCAUGAGCUCGGCGAAAUUGCAGUACGAGUAAAGAUGCUCGUUUCGCGCAGAAGGACGGAAAGACCCCGGGACCUUUACUACAGCUUGGUAUUGGCGCCCGCUAUAGCUUGUGCAGGAUAGGUGGGAGACUGUGAAGCCGUUACGCCAGUAGCGGUGGAGUCGUCCUUGAAAUACCACUCUGGUUAUGGCGUGCGCCUGAACCUGGGCCCGUGAUCCGGGUUAGGGACAGUGCCUGGUGGGUAGUUUAACUGGGGCGGUUGCCUCCUAAAGUGUAACGGAGGCGCUCAAAGGUUCCCUCAGCCUGGUCGGCAACCAGGUGUUGAGUGCAAGUGCACAAGGGAGCUUGACUGUGAGACCGACGGGUCGAGCAGGUACGAAAGUAGGAACUAGUGAUCCGGCGAUCCCGUGUGGGUGGGUCGUCGCUCAACGGAUAAAAGGUACCCCGGGGAUAACAGGCUGAUCCUGCC